rnacentral:rRNA from 1 species
CAGCAGCCACGGUAAUACGUAGGGUGCAAGCGUUAAUCGGGAUUACUGGGCGUAAAGCGUGCGCAGGCGGUUAUAUAAGUCAGAUGUGAAAUCCCCGGGCUCAACCUGGGAACUGCAUUUGAGACUGUAUGGCUAGAGUGUGUCAGAGGGGGGUAGAAUUCCACGUGUAGCAGUGAAAUGCGUAGAUAUGUGGAGGAAUACCGAUGGCGAAGGCAGCCCCCUGGGGUAACACUGACGCUCAUGCACGAAAGCGUGGGGAGCAAACAGGAUUAGAUACCCCGGUAGUCCCUGUCUCUUAUAC